rnacentral:tRNA from 1 species
AUUCCUGUAGUUGAAAUACAACAGCGGCUCUUCAAGCCGCAAGUUCUAGUUGGAAUCUGGGCGGGAAUU